CCUACGGGAGGCAGCAGUGGGGAAUAUUGCACAAUGGGGGAAACCCUGAUGCAGCGACGCCGCGUGAGUGAGGAAGUAUUUCGGUAUGUAAAGCUCUAUCAGCAGGGAAGAAAAUGACGGUACCUGACUAAGAAGCCCCGGCUAACUACGUGCCAGCAGCCGCGGUAAUACGUAGGGGGCAAGCGUUAUCCGGAUUUACUGGGUGUAAAGGGAGCGUAGACGGUUAAUCAAGUCAGAAGUGAAAACCCAGGGCUCAACCUUGGGACUGCUUUUGAAACUGAGUAGCUAGAGGGCAGGAGAGGUAAGCGGAAUUCCUAGUGUAGCGGUGGAAUGCGUAGAUAUUAGGAGGAACACCAGUGGCGAAGGCGGCUUUCUGGACUGUAACUGACGUUGAGGCUCGAAAGCGGGGGGAGCAAACAGGAUUAGAUACCCCAGUAGUC
rnacentral:rRNA from 1 species